CAACAAUUCACCAUCCAAACUAAACGCAAAGGACCGCGCUCAACGUCAAAAGAGGUCGUUUGGUUGGUGGUGCAUGGAGUGUCACAAAUAGUGAACCUCCAAGUUGGCAAAGCGCGCCAACCCGAGAAUUCUGUAGAGCGCAAUGGCGGAGGCCAUCCGGCCUGGCCGGAGGAAGAUCCUCCGACUUGACUCGACCACCGCGGGAUACACUAGAACACACGAACACACACA